UACGUAGGGUGCAAGCGUUAAUCGGAAUUACUGGGCGUAAAGCGUGCGCAGGCGGUUUUGUAAGUCUGACGUGAAAUCCCCGGGCUCAACCUGGGAAUUGCGUUGGAGACUGCAAGGCUAGAAUCUGGCAGAGGGGGGUAGAAUUCUACGUGUAGCAGUGAAAUGCGUAGAGAUGUGGAGGAACACCGAUGGCGAAGGCAGCCCCCUGGGUCAAGAUUGACGCUCAUGCACGAAAGCGUGGGGAGCAAACAGG
rnacentral:rRNA from 1 species